rnacentral:rRNA from 1 species
AAUCAACGCUGGCGGCGUGCCUCAGACAUGCAAGUCGAACGCGAAAGGUUCCUUCGGGAACCCGGUAGAGUGGCGCACGGGUGAGUAACACGUGGGUAAUUUGCCUUCGGGUGGGGAAUAACAGUCGGAAACGGCUGCUAAUACCGCAUAAUGCAGCGGCAUCAUAAGAUGACAGUUGUUAAAGCGGGGGAUCGUAAGACCUCGCGCCUGAAGAGAAGCCCGCGGCGGAUUAGGUAGUUGGNGAGGUAAUGGCUCACCAAGCCCGCGAUCCGUAACCGGCCUGAGAGGGCGGUCGGUCACACUGACACUGACAUACGGGUCAGACUCCUACGGGAGGCAGCAGUCGGGAAUUUUGGGCAAUGGGCGCAAGCCUGACCCAGCAACGCCGCGUGAAGGAUGAAGCAUUCGGUGUGUAAAC